AUUGAACGCUGGCGGCAGGCCUAACACAUGCAAGUCGAGCGGAGCGGCGGACGGGGGCGGAAUGCCUAGGACUGUGCCUGGGAGUGGGGGAUAACGACCGGAAACGGGAGCUAAUACCGCAUCCUAUCAGAUGAGCAUAUGUCGGAUUUGCUAGUUGGAGGGGGAAAGGCCUACCAAGGCGACGGUCCGUAACUGGUCUGAGAGGAUGAUCAGUCACACUGGAACUGAGACACGUCCCAGACUCCUACGGGAGGCAGCAGUGGGGAAUAUUGGACAAUGGGCGAAAGCCUGAUCCAGCCAUGCCGCGUGUGUGAAGAAGGUCUUCGGAUUGUAAAGCACUUUAAGUUGGGAGGCGUUACCAACAGAAUAAGCACCGGCUAACUUCGUGCCAGCAGCCGCGGUAAUUC
rnacentral:rRNA from 1 species